UGGGGAAUCUUCCGCAAUGGACGAAAGUCUGACGGAGCAACGCCGCGUGAGUGAAGAAGGUUUUCGGAUCGUAAAACUCUGUCUUUUGGGGCGAACGUGAGUAUGGUGAACAAUCAUAGUCAGUGACGGUACCAAAGGAGGAAGCCACGGCUAACUACGUGCCAGCGGCCGCGGUAAUACGUAGGUGGCAAGCGUUGUCCGGAAUUAUUGGGCGUAAAGAGCGCGUAGGCGGGAUAGUCAGUCUGUUGUAAAAGUGCGGGGCUCAACCCCGUGAUGGCAAUGGAAACAGCUAUUCUUGAGUGCAGGAGAGGAAAGUGGAAUUCCCAGUGUAGCGGUGAAAUGCGUAGAUAUUGGGAGGAACACCAGUGGCGAAGGCGACUUUCUGGACUGUGUCUGACGCUGAGGCGCGAAAGCCAGGGGAGCGAACGGGAUUAGAUACCCCGGUAGUCCUGGCCGUAAACGAUGGGUACUAGGUGUGGGAGGUAUCGACCCCUUCCGUGCCGGAGUUAACGCAAUAAGUACCCCGCCUGGGGAGUACGGUCGCAAGACUGAAACUUAAAUGAAUUGAC
rnacentral:rRNA from 1 species